UCAAAUUUUAUAUUUAAAUUUUUUGAAUAGUACUAGUAAGAACUUAAAAGAUCAUUUGCAAAAGCAAUUUGAUGGUUAAACUUUAUAAAUGUAUAUAAUUUUUUUGGCUAUUUUUUUAUGGUUUUGAAAUUUGAUGAUGAGUACUUUUGAGUUCCAGUCCUAUUAUAAAGUUUAGCUGUAUUGUGUAUUUUUUUGACAUUUGAAUUGUAGACUUCAAUUUGAUCUCAUAAAUUAUUUAUAAUAUAUUUCCAGUAAGUAAAAGGAUAAGUAACAUACAUAACGUAAAGUCUGUAAAUGAAGUGAUAAUGGAUUUUUUUCAGAAAUCAGAUAAUGGAAAAAUUUGACUUUUGGCUAAUAAUGUAGAGCUCAAGCAUUGCCCAAAAUUAUAGUUCUGGCAGCAAUUAGAUCAUCACUUAAAACACUUCCUGUGUAAAUAUUUUUAGGGUGAUGGUUGUGAUCUAUUAUUAAUGCCUUAUCAAGUUUAAAUUUACAUAGACAAAAAAAAAUAUUAUGCUCUUUAAAGUUUCACCAUUUUUGUUAUGAAACGGAAAUGGUGUUGAUAAUAGAAGAAAAUAGUAACCUAAACACCUUAUCGCUAUUUAGUCCAAUCCGGAAAAAACAGUCAUCUAGACAACUUCCUGUUUGGGUCAAGUGUCACAAACACAAAGGUCAUCAGUAAUGAGCUGAGGGAGGAAAACGUUUUGAAAUUUGUAUAGUUAUGAUCCAAUUUUUUAAACACAAAUUAAAGUAAGAAAAAUGCUUUGUUUGAAGUAUUUACAAUGGUUUAAACAUAACUCUUUGAAAAUUUUUAUGCACAGUACAUUGUUUAAACAGGGCCCCAGAUGGCGUCAACUGGUUAGAAAGAGUUGUGUAAUUUCAGAACUUAUCAGAAUGGAAUAAAUAGCAAUAAGGUGUAUUGAAAGUUACAAAGAUUGACAAAGUACAUGUUGACAGCUUAUUGUAUCAAGCUAGUGUCAGCCAUUUAUGGAACAGGUUUGCCAUUUUCAUAUGACUUUGAUAUAUAAUGUAUGAAUGCUUUAUAUAUUUUAUUUGAUCUUUUAUAAUUCAUUUCAUGUGGCAUUUUAUAAAAAACAGUGCAAAAAGUGAAUUUUGUUGUGACUAUUUAAAUGAUUAAAAGCAGCUUUUUGUCUGUCAUAUUUUCAUUGGUGCAUUAUUAAAAUCAUCAACCAGUUAAACGAGAUCUUUUAUUGUUAACCAUCUCAAAUCAAGAACCAAUGAUAAGGCAGCUUUUUUUUAUCUGGCAUUUUAUUGGUGCACAUCACUCAUUUUUAACCAAUGGCCAGGCAGCAUUUUUAUUGGGCAUUUAGUUGGUGCAUCAUUAAUCCAUGAUUAUGUAUAUUGAUGAAAAUGCAUUAAUUAUUACUGUGUUUGAUAAAAUAAAAUACAUGUGUAUAUACAUAUUGAUAUACAACCCUUUUUCUUUAUCCAUAUCCCAUUAUAAUUUUUUCCAGAUUCAAUAAAAUAAUAUUAUUUCUCAAUAUCAUAUGCAAGAUAUAACCAUAAUAUACAGUGGCGGAUCCAGAAUUUUGUAUAAGUGGGGGGCCCGCUGACUGACCUAAGGGGGGCCCGCUCCAGUCAUGCUUCAGUGAUUCCCUAUAUAAUCAACCAAAUUUUUCCCACAAAAGGGGGGCCCCCCCUGGAUCCGCCUAUGAUAUAUGGGUGUUUCCUGUUUUCCCUUUGAUCAUCAACAAUGGUUAAUGUAUAGCAAUAAAAGUUAUGCACUGGUGCAUAUAUAACUUCAAAUUAUAUAGGUCAUCAGUGACAAUAAUAUUUUUUAAGCAAAUUUUGCUAAAAAUGUAGAGUUAUUGCAUGAAUAUUAUCCCUCGUAGGCCUCGGUGGCCAAGUGGUCUAAGUAGUUCUACUACUUUAAUCACUAGCCAGUCAACACUGAGGUUGUGAGUUCGAAUCCCGCUUGUGCGGGUGCACUCAACUCCAAUCUUAAUUGACUAGGAUUGUCAGUUUUCCUAUCGAAGGUCGUGGUUUUCUCCAGGCACUCCGGCUUCCUCCCCCAAUAAAAACUGGCCGCCACGAAAUAGCCCAAAUGUGGCGCUUAAUAGUUAAAACACCAACAAUCAAUCGUAGAAUUGUAUAGUAUUCACAAGCUCAUGCAAUACAAAAAUCUGCUGGGGACAUUAUUACAGUACUUAAUAUAUAAAGUUACAGCUAAUAUUAAAUAUAACCUGCUAUAAAAAGAUCCAAGCUUCUUUGUAUUUGGCCAAAAAUCUGUUAUUGUUUUAAUUAAUAAUUCCCUUUCCUUGUUAAUAGCAGAAAACUUACUUAUUAUUUUUUUUAAUUUAAUAAUUGAUUAAGGUAGAUCUGUUCUCUUUAUCGAUCUUUGAUAGUAAAGUAAAAUCUGUCUAGAUUUUUAAAUGUAAAAUGCACAUUUUUCAAAAAUGAUACAAUUAGUUUGAAUAAUUUUGAUCUGUUUUUGCAAAAAUAUUUUUAAACACUGCCAUAUAAGGGGAGAAACUCAGAUAAUCGUAAUUUUAUAAAGAAAUGUAAGUACAUUUACUUAUUUGUUUUGUUAACAAAAAAAAACAUCAAUUCAUAGGUCCUUUUGAUGUAUAACAACCAAUAAUUCCAGACCAAGAUUUUGAAAUGGAAGCUGUUACUAAAUUCUAGUAAAAAUUUAGUAUGAAUAAAAGGAGGUGCAGUGUAUAUACAAUGAGAUAUCAACCCAAUGACAAAAAUAAACCUCCGAAAAACUAGAUGGCAACAUAGUCUCCAGCAAUGGACAAGUGUCUAUACAAAUGUUUAGUACUUAACAGAAACAAAAUCAAAGCCAUUUAUACCCAAUUCCCAAAAUAAUGAAAAACAUUAAGGUCAAGGAUAUGUGAAUGGACUAUGUCACAGAUUUUGGUAAAAUUUUUAAAAUAGUUCAACAUUUGUACAGUAAGUACAAAACAAUCUAUUAAAAACAUGGUAAAAAAUUAUUGUUUGAAAAAAAAAAAUUUCUGAUCACCCACUCAAUAGAUUUUUCAUCAAAUUGAUAUGUUGUUGCCAGAUAAUUUCAGUACUGAUGAGGUAAAAUAAUUAUAGGGUCAACAACUUUGCUUUUUGGGUAAACAACAGUAAUGUGGUGUUCUUUGUGAAAAAAAUAAAGUUAACAUAUUCACAAUGUAAAGCCCUCCAACAGGGUUACAGGUUGGUUAAUACAUCAGAAACAAUGUGAGUGACUCGAUGAUUAUAUAAAUCAAUCAAAGCAAACAACAUGUCAACUUGAUGGGUUUUGGAGAUUUGAUUUUAAGACAAUUUUGAGAAUGUUUUUCAUCAUUAUGUACUUGCUAUGCAAAUGAACACCUAUUUUGAAAGAAUUUUAUUCAAUAAUAUUUCAGAAAAUAAAAUAUGUUAGUGCAUUACUUAUUUGCUUUUUUAGUUCAAGUUAACAUAGUAAAAUUAUAUGCAAAAUCAUUGACAUGGCCCAUUUCCUGUAAUGAAAUAAGCACUUGAUAAGUUUGGUGCAUCUUAAGAUAUGAAAACUACAGUGUAGGUUCCUGUCUUGGUUACAAAUGAUAUUUUAGUUUUAAGAGAAGUAACAAAAUUGAACUAUUAGAUUUUAUAAUAAUAAUGUAUACUUCUUCACCAAUUUUUUUUUUAUUAUCGUUUGGAUGAAAAUAUUCUACUGUACUGCAUAUUGAUUAUUUAAUUAUCACUCAUAAAACAAUUCUACUGUACUGCAUAUUGAAUAUGUCAUUUGAUUCUUUUUUUAUAAUGAUUUUUAAUCAGAUAAUCAAGUCUUUAUGAAUAAUAAAGAACAAAUAUGAAUCAU